UACAGAGGUCUCAAGCGUUGUUCGGAUUCAUUGGGCGUAAAGGGUGCGUAGGCGGCGCGGUAAGUCGGGUGUGAAAUCUCGGAGCUUAACUCCGAAACUGCAUUCGAUACUGCCGUGCUUGAGGACUGGAGAGGAGACUGGAAUUUACGGUGUAGCGGUGAAAUGCGUAGAUAUCGUAAGGAAGACCAGUGGCGAAGGCGGGUCUCUGGACAGUUCCUGACGCUGAGGCACGAAGGUCAGGGGAGCAUACGGG
rnacentral:rRNA from 1 species